rnacentral:rRNA from 1 species
AUUGAACGCUGGCGGCAUGCCUUACACAUGCAAGUCGAACGGUAACAGGUCUUCGGAUGCUGACGAGUGGCGAACGGGUGAGUAAUACAUCGGAACGUGCCCGAGAGUGGGGGAUAACGAGGCGAAAGCUUUGCUAAUACCGCAUACGAUCUCAGGAUGAAAGCAGGGGACCGCAAGGCCUUGCGCUCACGGAGCGGCCGAUGGCAGAUUGGGUAGUUGGUGGGAUAAAAGCUUACCAAGCCGACGAUCUGUAGCUGGUCUGAGAGGACGACCAGCCACACUGGGACUGAGACACGGCCCAGACUCCUACGGGAGGCAGCAGUGGGGAAUUUUGGACAAUGGGCGCAAGCCUGAUCCAGCCAUGCCGCGUGCAGGAUGAAGGCCUUCGGGUUGUAAACUGCUUUUGUUCGGAACGAAAAGACUCUGGUUAAUACCUGGGGUCCAUGACGGUACCGUAAGAAUAAGCACCGGCUAACUACGUGCCAGCAGCCGCCGUAAGAC